AAAAAAAAAAAAAGAAGAAAGAAGAAGAAACUCACAAUCACUUCUGCAUUCCAAAUUGCACUGUGAAUUCUGGAUCACCAAAGCUUGAGUUCCUAUCGCACUGAAAAUGGUCAAGAGGAAAGAAGAUGAGGUUUUGAUAUCAGGAUGGUUUUUCCCUUAUCUCAUUGUUAUAGUCAAAAGGCCAUCAGCCUGUUAUGAGUAAGGAGUAGAGCAG
rnacentral:misc_RNA from 1 species